GAUGAACGCUGGCGGCGUGCCUAAUACAUGCAAGUCGAGCGAACAGACGAGGAGCUUGCUCCUCUGACGUUAGCGGCGGACGGGUGAGUAACACGUGGAUAACCUACCUAUAAGACUGGGAUAACUUCGGGAAACCGGAGCUAAUACCGGAUAAUAUAUUGAACCGCAUGGUUCAAUAGUGAAAGACGGUUUUGCUGUCACUUAUAGAUGGAUCCGCGCCGCAUUAGCUAGUUGGUAAGGUAACGGCUUACCAAGGCAACGAUGCGUAGCCGACCUGAGAGGGUGAUCGGCCACACUGGAACUGAGACACGGUCCAGACUCCUACGGGAGGCAGCAGUAGGGAAUCUUCCGCAAUGGGCGAAAGCCUGACGGAGCAACGCCGCGUGAGUGAUGAAGGUCUUCGGAUCGUAAAACUCUGUUAUGAGGGAAGAACAAAUGUGUAAGUAACUAUGCACGUCUUGACGGUACCUAAUCAGAAAGCCACGGCUAACUACGU
rnacentral:rRNA from 1 species